AAGCAGCUGGACAACUCCAGUGAACUGUGGGACAGAAAGGAGGCACAGACAGCAGAAUACAGUGCAUUUACUUCUCACAGUUAUUUGCAAGAGUGAAAAAGAAGAGGAGUCAGGAUGAAUGAAUUCUGCCUUCAUUUGUCCCUGUUUUCUUCAUGUUCUCAUUCUCAAAGAACCAGGAUGUCUUCAGCUGAUGUACUCUUGCCCUUGAGCAUCACAGUAUCAUGGGACCACUGAGGACUCAACUUGUGACCGGAGGCAAAACGGAGUUGUGUUUCUGCAUGGCAUGGCCAGCUCCUGGUAAGGAGAAAACUGGACCUUAGACUGCUAUAGUCACACUUUAAUUAUGAAAUGAUUUUGCUCCACAAUUUAUGUAGACUGGCUCCUGACAGUACUAAUAUACUUCCUGUCUCUAUAGAAUUUUAUUGCAUUGGACAUUU
rnacentral:lncRNA from 1 species